rnacentral:rRNA from 1 species
GAUGAACGCUGGCGGCGUGCCUAAUACAUGCAAGUCGAGCGAACAGACGAGGAGCUUGCUCCUCUGACGUUAGCGGCGGACGGGUGAGUAACACGUGGAUAACCUACCUAUAAGACUGGGAUAACUUCGGGAAACCGGAGCUAAUACCGGAUAAUAUAUUGAACCGCAUGGUUCAAUAGUGAAAGACGGUUUUGCUGUCACUUAUAGAUGGAUCCGCGCCGCAUUAGCUAGUUGGUAAGGUAACGGCUUACCAAGGCAACGAUGCGUAGCCGACCUGAGAGAGUGGUCGGCCACACUCGAACUGAGACACGGUCCAGACUCCUACGGGAGGCAGCAGUAGGGAAUCUUCCGCAAUGGGCGAAAGCUUGACGGAGCAACGCCGCGUGAGUGAUGAAGGUCUUCGGAUCGUAAAACUCUGUUAUUAGGGAAGAACAAAUGUGUAAGUAACUAUGCACGUCUUGACGGUACCUAAUCAGAAAGCCACGGCUAACUACGUG